GGAGCGCAGCAGGGGACGAAGAUGAGUAGCGAUCCCAAGUACGCCUACCCCUACCCGGCACAAGGCUACUACCAGGGGCCGUACCAGGGCCCGCCGGUGAUGGCGCCGCCGCAGUACGCCGCGCCGCCGCCGAGGAGGGAGCCGAGCUUCCUCGAAGGCUGGUAACCUGGCCGCGCUUUGCUGCUGCUGCCUCAUCGACGAGUGCUGCUGCGACCCCUCCAUCAUCUUCGUCAGCUAGGAAGAGGAUUCCAGAGCUGGUUGCUCGUGCUUCCAGCGUUGUACAGGAACAGCUUCAGCUCCGGAUCGAGGAAGAAAGAGCUUGUUGUAACCACGAUGUACGCCGCCUAUGUAGUGAUUUUAUUCCUUCCAGCUGCAGCUGGUGAUUUCCCCUGCAUGUACCCUCGAUCCAGUUGAUACCAAGACAAGUGUGUGUAAUCUCUUCUCACAUCUCUGCCAGCUGCCUGCGUGUGUGAUGUCUUUGUUACCGAACGAGAUUGCUUUAUUUGCCUACUAUAUAAUUUGCCGUCGAGUCCUUGGUUCGAUUC